CGUAUGGAAUAAAUUUAGAAGUGGCACAGAAUCGGGAAAUGGCGACUGUUUAUUAAAAACACAGGACAAUGCUAAAUAGAAAUAUGAUGUAUAUUGUCUGACUCCUGCCCAGUGCUUGAAAGUAAAAAUGAAUAUUUGAAAAGGUAUUUGUAUAAGCUCAAGUAAACGGCGGCUGUAACCUUGACGGUCUUAAGGUAGCGAAAUCCCUAGUCAAUUAAUUGUUGACGUGCAUGAAUGGAGUAACGACUGUUUUACUGUCUCGGGCUUUUGUACUGUGAAUUCAUAAUUGUCGUGAAGAUACGACAUUCCUAUAGUGGGACGGAGAGACCCUAUGCAGCUUUACUAUAAUUUUAAAGUAGUUUGAAAUUCUUUAAGUAUGUAGGAUAGGUAUAAGCUUAUUAUUUUUAACGUCAAGUUAAAUUUAGUAUUAAGGUCGAAUACUUGUAAAUAAGU
rnacentral:rRNA from 1 species